GUUAAUAUAAUAGAAAUUAGACAUAUGUAAGUUGUCAGAUUAGACUCAGCUUGAACUUUCAUCUAAGCUACAUAAGAAAUUUCGAAAUAGAUAUAGAGGCUAUUGAUAGCAAUUGUUGUCGAGAAUAUCAUAUUAGGGGAUUUGAUAAUAGUUCCUUGGCUGCUAAUAGAAGAGUACGAGCCCUGCAGCAAAAAUAAGAUAAUAGAUGAUAAAGAUUCUGAAAUAUUGAGAUUAGAUGCAGAAAACUUUAAUUACGCUGACACAGUCAAAGAACUGAAAAAGAAAUUGAAAAGCCAAAAAACCAAAAUAUCUAGAUGCAUAGAUAUACAUAUACGAGGUGGAAGUUCCUGACUCGAGUCUUUUCGAGUCUAGCUGACUGCUUGGGGGCUUCAGGCUUGCAGUCACAGGGCUCUAAAUGCAAAGCGUGCACUUGAGGGAUAAAUGGAAUGGACAUGAUGAUGAUCAGGUCAAUUAAUACACUAUGGUCGAGACCGAUUUUUUGGCGUAAAAUCUAAUUUUAUAGUUAGAGUCUUCACACGUAUAUUUGUCAAAUACAAUUGGAAUUUUUUAUUUUGGGGUUGGACCCUCCCAUACC